rnacentral:lncRNA from 1 species
AGCACAUUUAGCUUGGCUACUGGACAGCCUUCAUCAGCGACUCAUGAUGCUCAUCUCUACAGCCCAGAGGACAUUUAAAGAACUAAAUAAAGAUAUAGAAGGCGGCCCCUUCUCUCAUCAGUAAGCCUUACCAUCUAAGGGACACUCUGGACAUCGGAAGAUUCCAAGUCGUCUCUUAUGGAGGAUUCAUCUGGCGACUCAGCAGGUUAGUGAAGAAAAAGUUAGAAGAAUAUUACCCUAAAUCACGGUCAGGUGAUAAGGGUCUGCAUUAUGACAGCUGGAACUGAAGUGAAUGAAAUAAAUUGCUCCUCUGAGGUGUGGACAGCAUUCCACACACAUUGGACAAAGACUGCUGAACCAGCCGAAAUCUACAGAUGAAGACUCCAUAAAAGUAACAAGCAAGGAAAAAUAAACUACAUGACAUGCCUUGAUUCCAUGUCUCUUUUCGUCAUGUUAUAUAUUUUUCUU